rnacentral:lncRNA from 1 species
GAUCUAUGACCCUAUUACUGACAGUUUCUCUUGCAAAAUGAAAUGUGAUACUUCUCAGUAGAAGGAAUAUGUUUUAUUACAGUGACGUGUUUCAGAAGGGCCUCACUUAGGAGACUUCUGGUUCCCCUUGCUUGCCGCUGGUACGGGACAUCCAAAGUUUCCUUCUCUUUCCUCUCCCACUUGCAACUACCUUUUCCUUUUUUUCCCCUCCUCUCACUGAGGACAGCCGUGAAAAUCACUCCAGACUGUGUUCAUGAGCAGAUUGAUUAUUCUGUUGAGAAAGCACUGGAAUGUUUUGUGAGAUAUUUUUAUAUGAAGGAGUAGCUUCAGUUCAAACAGCUGGAAUAGUUAGAACAUGUUAGCAUGGUAGCUAUAUCCACACGACUGCACACACAGUGCUCCGAAAGGAAACCUGGGACUUCGUUUCCAUUGUCUUGAAGGAAGAGUUUGGUUGACUUAAAAAUACAAGAUACACAGGACGUGGAAAAACAAAAUGUAUGCAGUACUCAGAAAUUACUGGUUUUGUAAUCUUUGUUAUAUAAGAGGAUGUUUAGGCUGUACAUAUGGGGGUAGAUUAUUGCCUGCCCCUUAUACAUAGGAAU